UAUGUGGCUUUCUUGUACAUGGCAUAAAGUGCAAAAGCCUGAGAUUAAUAGCAAAUAGUGGCAGACAUAGGAUGUGCUUGGUGUCUUAUUGCUUUCAUUUCUCAGGAGAUUGGUCUCGAGCCCUUCUGCUGGAUCUUGUUUAAUCUGCAGGAGGCCUCUGCAGCUCUGAGGAACUUCAGUGCAUCACUUCAUCAGGCUGUUAUCGCAACCUCA
rnacentral:lncRNA from 1 species